rnacentral:ncRNA from 1 species
UUUUGUUCAUGAUAUCAACAAGUGCCCCUGGUGCAUAUCUUGGUGGCAGUAGAAAAUAUUCAAAUGAGAACUUUGAAGAGUGAGUGGGGAAAUGUUCCAUGUGAACAUCACUUGUACAUGGUUUAGUCGAUCCUAAGAGAUGGGGAAUCCUUGUAUCAAGGUUGCACUCAGCAUGAACAUCGAAAGAAAAUCUGGUUAAUAUUUCCAAACCAGGACAUGGUGGUGGAUGACAAUAUUAGGAAAUCUGGAGAUGUCAUCGGGGGCUUGGGAAGAGUUAUCUUUUCUUUUUAACGCCUUUCCCACCCUAAAAUUGGUUCAACCGGAGAUAUGAUACAACACCUAGAAUAGCAACACAUGUCUUGCGGUGUUUGGUUCCCCCUCGGCGACCAUUGAAAAUAUAGAGGACCGAGUACCAUCCAUGCCCGAUUGUACUCAUAUCUUCCUCAGAUUUUUCAGUGCUCACUAGGU